ensembl:miRNA microRNA 874
UGGUGUUAGCCCUGCGGCCCCACGCACCAGGGUAAGAGAGACUCUCGCUUCCUGCCCUGGCCCGAGGGACCGACUGGCUGGGCC